AUAUCAGCCAAUUCAUUGCUUCUCCUUGUUAUACUAGCUGCUUCACCAGAAGCUACUGUUGAUCGUGUCACUUUCAUUAGACUAAUUGGCUAUUAUUCUGGAGAGUACCCACAUCACUUUGAUUUACCAGUCUUGACACGACUGACAAUGCUACUCUUUUUUCAAUAGAUGAUAGAGCCCUGUCAUCAUUAGGAGACUCAAGAAUAUCAUCUAAUGACACCUGGCAUGAGUCACUGUGUUUGCUACAUUCCUCUCCAAGUCAAAGAACAAUUUCCCUGUUAAUUCAGACAUUCUAGUGAAAGUGUCUUCAUUUGAAUAAUGGU